UACGGCGGUCAUAGCGUGAGGGAAACGCCCGGUCACAUUCCGAACCCGGAAGCUAAGACUCACAGCGCCGAUGGUACUGCAGGGGGGACCCUGUGGGAGAGUAGGACACCGCCGGAC
rnacentral:rRNA from 1 species